GUGGGGAAUCUUGCACAAUGGGCGAAAGCCUGAUGCAGCCAUGCCGCGUGAAUGAUGAAGGCCUUAGGGUUGUAAAAUUCUUUCGUCAGGGAUGAUAAUGACCGUACCUGAAGAAGAAGCCCCGGCUAACUUCGUGCCAGCAGCCGCGGUAAUACGAAGGGGGCUAGCGUUGUUCGGAAUUACUGGGCGUAAAGCGCACGUAGGCGGACUUUUAAGUCAGGUGUGAAAUCCCGGGGCUCAACCUCGGAACUGCAUUUGAAACUGGAAGUCUUGAGAUCAGGAGAGGUUAGCGGAAUACCGAGUGUAGAGGUGAAAUUCGUAGAUAUUCGGUGGAACACCAGUGGCGAAGGCGGCUAACUGGACUGAUACUGACGCUGAGGUGCGAAAGUGUGGGGAGCAAACAGGAUUAGAAACCCUUGUAGUCC
rnacentral:rRNA from 1 species